rnacentral:rRNA from 1 species
GCCAGACUCCUACGGGAGGCAGCAGUGGGGAAUAUUGCACAAUGGGGGAAACCCUGAUGCAGCGACGCCGCGUGAGUGAAGAAGUAUUUCGGUAUGUAAAGCUCUAUCAGCAGGGAAGAAAUAAAGUCCUUCGGACUUUGGACGGUACCCGACUAAGAAGCCCCGGCUAACUACGUGCCAGCAGCCGCGGUAAUACGUAGGGGGCAAGCGUUAUCCGGAUUUACUGGGUGUAAAGGGAGCGUAGACGGCAAUGCAAGUCUGGAGUGAAAGGCGGGGGCCCAACCCCCGGACCGCUCUGGAAACUGUAUAGCUGGAGUGCAGGAGAGGUAAGUGGAAUUCCUAGUGUAGCGGUGAAAUGCGUAGAUAUUAGGAGGAACACCAGUGGCGAAGGCGGCUUACUGGACUGUAACUGACGUUGAGGCUCGAAAGCGUGGGGAGCAAACAGGAUUAGAUACCCUUGUA